AGAGUUUGAUCCUGGCUCAGAUUGAACGCUGGCGGCAUGCUUUACACAUGCAAGUCGAACGGCAGCACGGGGGCAACCCUGGUGGCGAGUGGCGAACGGGUGAGUAAUGCAUCGGAACGUAUCCUUGAGUGGGGGUAACGGACAGCGAAAGUUAGUUGCUAAUAACCGCAUAAGCUCUGAGGAGGAAAGACGGGGACCGGAAAGGACCGUCGCGCUGAAGGAAGCGGCCGAUGUCCGAUUAGCUAGUUGGUGAGGUAAAGGACUUACCAAGGCGACGAUCGGUAGCUGGUCGUGAGAGGAUGAUCAGCCACACUGGGACUGAGACACGGCCCACGACUCCUACGGGAGGCGAC
rnacentral:rRNA from 1 species